ACUCAAAGGAAUUGACGGGGGCCCGCACAAGCGGUGGAGCAUGUGGAUUAAUUCGUCACUAACCGAAGAACCUUACCCAGGCUUGACAUCCUUCGCACCGGCGUGAAAGCGUCGUUCCCUUCGGGGACGGAGAGACAGGUGUUGCAUGGCUGUCGUCAGCUCGUGUCGUGAGAUGUUGGGUUAAGUCCCGCAACGAGCGCAACCCUCACCGUAUGUUGCCAGCGUAAAGUCGGGAACUCUUACGGAACUGCCCGUGCAAGCGGGAGGAAGGUGGGGAUGAGGUCAAGUCGGCAUGGCCCUUACGCCUGGGGCUUCAAACAUGCUACAAUGGGUGGCACAAAGGGCAGCAAUCCCGCGAGGGGGAGCGAAUCUCAAAAAUCCAUCCUCAGUUCGGAUUGUAGGCUGCAACUCGCCUACAUGAAGCUGGAAUCGCUAGUAACCGCAGGUCAGCUAAACUGCGGUGAAUACGUUCCCGGGCCUUGUACACACCGCCCGU
rnacentral:rRNA from 1 species